rnacentral:rRNA from 1 species
CCUACGGGAGGCAGCAGUAGGGAAUUGUUCGCAAUGGGCGCAAGCCUGACGUCGCAACGCCGCGUGGAGGAUGAAGAUCUUCGGGUUGUAAACUCCUGUCGAGCGGGAAGAACAGCAUGCGGGUUAAUACCCCGCGGKCCUGACGGUACCGCUAGAGGAAGCCCCGGCUAACUCCGUGCCAGCAGCCGCGGUAAUACGGAGGGGGCAAGCGUUGUUCGGAAUUACUGGGCGUAAAGGGCUCGUAGGCGGCCACCYAAGUCKGWCGUGAAAUCCCUCGGCUCAACCGGGGAASUUCGUCSGAUACUGCUUGGCUUGAAGCCGGGAGAGGGAUGCGGAAUUCCAGGUGUAGCGGUGAAAUGCGUAGAUAUCUGGAGGAACACCSGUGGCGAAGGCGGCAUCCUGGACCGGUCUUGACGCUGAGGAGCGAAAGCCAGGGUAGCAAACGGGAUUAGAUACCCCGGUAGUCCUGGCCSUAAACGAUGAAUGCUWGGUGUGGCGGGUAUCGAUCCCUGCCGUGCCGGAGCUAACGCAUUAAGCAUCCGC